rnacentral:pre_miRNA from 1 species
AUCCAAAUCAUCUGAAGGAAUUGUUAAAACACAGAUUGCUGCUUGUCACUCUCAGAGUUUCUGAUUCAGUAGAUAGAGGUGAGCUUCAACAAUUUGCAGUUCUAACAAGUUCCUUGGUGAUAUCAAU